UCCUAUCGUGCAUCCUAAUUUUAACAGUACCAAUACCAAUUACCUUACUGGAUGAAUCAUUUCUCAUGCGCACAACUCCACCUUCAAUUGAACUGUAUGUGGAGAACCAUUCUCUAAUGGGACACAUGUAGAAAGAACAUCCCGAAUCUAGAAUCUACUCGGAUAUAAGUUUGUAGUUAUCACUCGUUGACACUAACAAGAAAUCAUCC
rnacentral:lncRNA from 1 species